rnacentral:rRNA from 1 species
AGAGUUUGAUCAUGGCUCAGAGCGAACGCUGGCGGCAGGCCUAACACAUGCAAGUCGAACGAACUCUUCGGAGUUAGUGGCGGACGGGUGAGUAACACGUGGGAACGUGCCUUUAGGUUCGGAAUAACUCAGGGAAACUUGUGCUAAUACCGAAUGUGCCCUUCGGGGGAAAGAUUUAUCGCCUUUAGAGCGGCCCGCGUCUGAUUAGCUAGUUGGUGAGGUAAAGGCUCACCAAGGCGACGAUCAGUAGCUGGUCUGAGAGGAUGAUCAGCCACAUUGGGACUGAGACACGGCCCAAACUCCUACGGGAGGCAGCAGUGGGGAAUCUUGCGCAAUGGGCGAAAGCCUGACGCAGCCAUGCCGCGUGAAUGAUGAAGGUCUUAGGAUUGUAAAAUUCUUUCACCGGGGACGAUAAUGACGGUACCCGGAGAAGAAGCCCCGGCUAACUUCGUGCCAGCAGCCGCGGUAAUACGAAGGGGGCUAGCGUUGCUCGGAAUUACUGGGCGUAAAGGGAGCGUAGGCGGACAUUUAAGUCAGGGGUGAAAUCCCGGGGCUCAACCUCGGAAUUGCCUUUGAUACUGGGUGUCUUGAGUAUGAGAGAGGUGUGUGGAACUCCGAGUGUAGAGGUGAAAUUCGUAGAUAUUCGGAAGAACACCAGUGGCGAAGGCGACACACUGGCUCAUUACUGACGCUGAGGCUCGAAAGCGUGGGGAGCAAACAGGAUUAGAUACCCUGGUAGUCC